CACUGCAUCUGUUUCAUUAGCUAGCUUGUCUUUAUUUAAACUUGUCUUUGUCUUCUAUUUUACAUACAAAUCAACAGUUUUCCUCUAAUUUAAAAUGGAUUUACCUCUUGUUCAAGCUCUCCAGUAAACUAUUUCAGCAUAAUCAAUGUUUUCUUUCAUAAAACAAUAUUGUUGUCUGAUUAAAAUAUGGAAAUGUAUUUCUAAACCUUAUGACUUUGUAUACUUAUUUUUUUAAGUUGUAAUUCUUUGAUUUACUUACAUUUCCUUCAUUCCUUCUUCCAAAAUGGAAAUAAAAUCGAUAAAAUCAUCUUUGAAUCUAAUUAUGUUAGGUUAAGUUAAAGCUGAAAUUAUGGUCGCGUUCACCAGAAUAAUCCGAGUGCAAUCCGAUUAAUUUGCGCUGAAACGCUGACAGUUUUUUUACUAGUGAACGACUGACGUUUGACAUUCGAUUGAGAGUGUUCUGUGUUCCAUUUGUUUAUGUUUUUAUUCUUUGUUUAUAUAAUUUAUAACCUAGACAGUUUUGUUUUUAAAUAAAACUGAAACUGUGUCUAAACUAAAAUGGAUAUUCUUGAAGAAUUUUUGUUUGGGGACGAAAUUAGCAAAUGCCGUUAUACAUUUAGCAGAUGUACCUACCUCAAAUUAUUCCAGAAGGAUGAGAUGAAAUUAAAUAUAUAUAAACCAUAAUUCAAUAUCCAAUUUAGAGAACAUUUUCGUAUGUCCAGAACUACUUUCCAGGAACUAUUUAAUUGUAUUGGUCAUAUCCACCAAUUUGAAAACAGAAUAAUUCUAUUGGAAAAAAAUUAAUGUUUAUGAUUUGGAUGCUAAGUAAACCAGAGAAUUUGUUGCUGGGGAUACGUUUGGUUUGCCAAAGAGCUCUGGACAUAAGAUUUUCACCCAAAUAAUAUAGAAUUACAAAAAAUUGGAAAUAACUAAUCUUGAAUAUCAAUGUGUAUAUUGAGUUUAAUUUUAUUGUAAAUAUUCUAUAAUAUAAUUUUAUUGUAAAUAUUGUAUUAACACAUUUGUGGACACAUCUUCAUAUGCAGACAGUAAUUUCCCUUUGUAAGUACAUGCAUAUAUAGUCGUAUCUGCGAAUGGGUUAAUUGUAAAUCGUAAUCAAUAAAAAUUUUUUGUGAAUCAAUAAAAAACUGGUUUGUUUGAAAAUAAAUGUAGUACAAAUGUG